rnacentral:rRNA from 1 species
UACGUAGGCAGCGAGCGUUGUUCGGAGUUACUGGGCGUAAAGGGUGUGUAGGCGGUUGUUUAAGUUUGGUGUGAAAUCUCCCGGCUCAACUGGGAGGGUGCGCCGAAUACUGAAUGACUAGAGUGCGGGAGAGGAAAGUGGAAUUCCUGGUGUAGCGGUGAAAUGCGUAGAUAUCAGGAGGAACACCGGUGGUGUAGACGGCUUUCUGGACCGUAACUGACGCUGAGACACGAAAGCGCGGGGAGCAAACAGG